AUGCCAGUUCAAUGUGUCUGCUCAACUUGAAAAUGUUUUGCAGAGCAUAUUUUGAAAUGACACUGGUAAAGUAAAGCCACAGUACGAGCCUUGAAGACUUUGUUACAGUUUUUGAGGUCCCAAGAGAUGGCUACAUCU
rnacentral:snoRNA from 1 species